rnacentral:rRNA from 1 species
AGGGUGCAGGGCGGAUGCCUUGGCACUAGGAGCCGAUGAAGGACGUGAUAAGCUGCGAUAAGCUUCGGGGAGUUGCACGUAAACUUUGAUCCGAAGAUUUCCGAAUGAGGAAACUCACUUAGAGUAAUGUCUAAGUAUCAUUAAGUGAAUACAUAGCUUAAUGAGGGGAACUCAGGGAACUGAAACAUCUAAGUACCUGAAGGAAGAGAAAGAAAUUCGAUUCCGUAAGUAGCGGCGAGCGAACGCGGAUUAGCCCAAACCAAUAAAGUUUUCUUUAUUGGGGUUGCGGACAUAUCAUAACGAAGAGGUAUCGUAAUUGAAGAGGUUUGGAAAGACCCACCACAGAAGGUAAUAGUCCUGUAUGUUAAACGAGAAGACUUUAGAUAUGAUCCAGAGUACCACGGGACACGUGAAACCCUGUGGGAAGCAGGAGGGACCACCCUCCAAGGCUAAAUACUACCUAGUGACCGAUAGCGUAUAGUACCGUGAGGGAAAGGUGAAAAGAACCCCGGGAGGGGAGUGAAAUAGAACCUGAAACCCUGCACUUACAAGCUGUGGAAGCACAUUUCUUGUGUGACCGCGUACUUUUUGUAGAACGGGCCAACGAGUUACGUUAAGUAGCAAGGUUAAGCACUUAAGGUGUGGAGCCGUAGCGAAAGCGAGUUUUAACUGAGCGUUCAGUUACUUGACGUAGACCCGAAACCGGGCGACCUACCCAUGAGCAGGAUGAAGCGAAAGUAAAAUUUCGUGGAGGUCCGAACCCACGAGCGUUGAAAAGCUCGGGGAUGACUUGUGGGUAGCGGUGAAAUUCCAAUCGAGCCCGGAGAUAGCUGGUUCUCCCCGAAAUAGCUUUAGGGCUAGCCUCAAGGUGAGAGAUACGGAGGUAGAGCACUGAAUGUCCUAGGGGGUAUUGCACCUACCGAAGACUAUCAAACUCCGAAUGCCGUCAUCUUAUACUUGGGAGUCAGACUGUGGGUGAUAAGAUUCAUAGUCGAAAGGGCAACAGCCCAGAUCGUCAGCUAAGGUCCCUAAAUGUAAGUUAAGUGGUAAAGGAUGUGGGAUUGCACAGACAACCAGGAUGUUGGCUUAGAAGCAGCCACUCAUUCAAAGAGUGCGUAAUAGCUCACUGGUCGAGUGAUCCUGCGCCGAAGAUUUCCGGGGCUAAAACUUACUACCGAAGCUACGGCAUCAGUAAUGAUGGGUAGGGGAGCUUCCCAUACGGGUUGAAGCAUGACCGUAAGGACAUGUGGACAGUAUGGGAGUGAGAAUGUUGGCAUGAGUAGCGAGAUGUGGGUGAGAAUCCCACAGGCCGUAAACCCAAGGUUUCCAGGGGAAGGUUCGUCCGCCCUGGGUUAGUCGGGACCUAAGCUGAGGCCGAAAGGCGUAGGUGAUGGACAACAGGUUGAUAUUCCUGUACUACCGAUAACCGUUUGAGAGAAGGGAUGACACAGUAGGAUAAGCUAAGCACACUGUUGGUUAUGUGUGCCCAAGCAUUGAGGCAGUCAAAGUAGGCAAAUCCGCUUUGAUAAUGCUGGGAUGUGAUGGGGAGCGAAAUUUAGUAGCGAAGUAGCUGAUUUCACACUGUCAAGAAAAGUCUCUAUCGAGGUUAAAGGUACCCGUACCGCAAACCGACACAGGUGGGUGAGGAGAGUAUCCUAAGGCCAGCGAGAGAACUGUUGUUAAGGAACUCGGCAAAAUGACCCCGUAACUUAGGGAUAAGGGGUGCCACCAUCAGGUGGCCGCAGAGAAUAGGCCCAAGCGACUGUUUACCAAAAACAUAGGUUUCUGCUAAGUCGCAAGACGAUGUAUAGGAGCUGACGCCUGCCCGGUGCUGGAAGGUUAAGGGGAUCUGUUAGAGCAAUCGAAGCAGUGAACUUAAGCCCCAGUAAACGGCGGCCGUAACUAUAACGGUCCUAAGGUAGCGAAAUUCCUUGUCGGGUAAGUUCCGACCCGCACGAAAGGCGUAACGAUUUGGGCACUGUCUCAACAACAGACUCGGUGAAAUUGUAAUUCCGGUGAAGAUGCCGGAUACCUGCGACAGGACGGAAAGACCCCAUGGAGCUUUACUGUAGCUUGACAUUGGGUCUUGGUACUACAUGUACAGGAUAGGUGGGAGGCUUUGAAACCAGGACGCCAGUUUUGGCGGAGCCAUCCUUGGGAUACCACCCUUGUAGUACUGGGACUCUAACCAUAGGCCAUGAAUCUGGUCUUGGGACACUGUCAGGUGGGCAGUUUGACUGGGGCGGUCGCCUCCCAAAAGGUAACGGAGGCGCUCAAAGGUUCUCUCAGUACGGUCGGAAAUCGUACGUAGAGUGUAAAGGCAAAAGAGAGCUUGAUUGCAAGACAUACAGGUCGAGCAAGGAUGAAAAUCGGACUUAGUGAUCCGGUGGUUCUGCGUGGAAGGGCCAUCGCUCAACGGAUAAAAGCUACCCUGGGGAUAACAGGCUUAUCUCCCCCAAGAGUCCACAUCGACGGGGAGGUUUGGCACCUCGAUGUCGGCUCAUCACAUCCUGGGGCUGUAGUAGGUCCCAAGGGUUGGGCUGUUCGCCCAUUAAAGUGGUACGCGAGCUGGGUUCAGAACGUCGUGAGACAGUUCGGUCCCUAUCCGUCGCAGGCGUAGGAAAUUUGAGAAGACCUGUC